rnacentral:rRNA from 1 species
AAUCAACGCUGGCGGCGUGCCUAACACAUGCAAGUCGAACGAGAAAGUGACUUCGGUCACUGGAAAGUGGCGUCCGGGUGAGUAACACGUGGGUAAUCUACCCUCGGGUGGGGAAUAACGGAUCGAAAGAUUCGCUAAUACCGCAUAAUGCAGCGGCACCUAAUGGUGAAUAGUUGUUAAAGCGGGGGAUCGCAAGACCUCGCGCCUGAAGAGGAGCCUGCGGCAGAUAGCUAGUUGGUGAGGUAAUGGCUCACCAAGGCUUCGAUCUGUAGCUGGUCUGAGAGGACGGCCAGCCACACUGGCACUGACACACGGGCCAGACUCCUACGGGAGGCAGCAGUGGGGAAUUUUGGGCAAUGGGCGAAAGCCUGACCCAGCAACGCCGCGUGAGGGAGGAAAUCCUUCGGAUGUAAACCUCGCAAGCAAGGGAAGACAGCU